rnacentral:lncRNA from 1 species
GUUUUACUGUGCCUGGUGUAUUUUCCUCUCGAGCCCUUGUACUCUCUUUUCUCUUCUUUCUAAAUAUUCCUCACAAGCCCUUUUGACUUUUGUUUUAUUCUCGUGUACCUCUCGUGGUGAAAGAGGUCUGAAGAGUUGGGUGAAAGAAGCCUGAAGACAUGGGUGAGGUUGUCUUUUUACAAUGAAUAGUAGUUGGUCAAACCAUGGUGUUGUACUUGCUUAUCAAAUUGUUAAGGUUUGCCAAGGAUCACUUGGCCAGCAUGCAUAGGUACAACAUCAUAACAUACUU